CUACGGGGUGCUCCAGUGAGGAAUAUUGCACAAUGGGGGGAACCCUGAUGCAGCAACGCCGCGUGGAGGAUGACGCAUUUCGGUGUGUAAACUCCUUUUAUAUGCCAAGAAAAUGACGGUAGCAUAUGAAUAAGCGCCGGCUAACUCCGUGCCAGCAGCCGCGGUAAUACGGAGGGCGCAAGCGUUACUCGGAAUCACUGGGCGUAAAGGACGCGUAGGCGGGUUGAAAAGUCAGGUGUGAAAGCCUACAGCUUAACUGUAGAACUGCACUUGAAACUCUCAAUCUAGAGUAUGGGAGGGGCAGAUGGAAUUAGUGGUGUAGGGGUAAAAUCCGUAGAUAUCACUAGGAAUACCUAAAGCGAAGGCGAUCUGCUGGAACAUUACUGACGCUAAGGCGUGAAAGCGUGGGGAGCAAACAGGAUUAGAUACCCUUGUAGUC
rnacentral:rRNA from 1 species